UACGUAGGUGACAAGCGUUAUCCGGAUUUAUUGGGCGUAAAGGGAACGCAGGCGGUCUUUUAAGUCUGAUGUGAAAGCCUUCGGCUUAACCGGAGUAGUGCAUUGGAAACUGGGAGACUUGAGUGCAGAAGAGGAGAGUGGAACUCCAUGUGUAGCGGUGAAAUGCGUAGAUAUAUGGAAGAACACCAGUGGCGAAAGCGGCUCUCUGGUCUGUAACUGACGCUGAGGCACGAAAGCGUGGGUAUCGAACAGG
rnacentral:rRNA from 1 species